rnacentral:lncRNA from 1 species
CCAUAAGAUACUCGAGUUGUUAUUUCUCAAAACAAGAUUGCCAGAAUCCAACAGGGUGGCACUAGUUUUGCUGUUUGAUGAUAUGCUUGUCACCCUGUAUGAAAUUUUCCCCUCCCAAACCUCGAGGUUACCAUCUGUCCUGACAGUAAGAACCACAGACGGAUCUGUGAAUGAAUAAUCUCGGUUAGCUACCCACACAAUGGUUGGCUCUGAUACUUUCUUGUACCAUAUCCCCACAUAGUAUUUUGUGGAGUUUCCAGGAGAAAAGAAUCCUAAUUCAAAUUCACCACCCGCAGAUAUGAUGGUCUGAGAGGUUGUGAUUGAUUGACCUUGUGAGAUUGUAUCUGUAAAUGCAUCAGCAAAUUCCAAGUGAAAACCUGAAGAAAUAAGCAAGAAAACAAGAAUAACAGACCACCAACUGGUUGAAAAUUUCAUGCUAGCCAUAACUCAUAAGCAGCGUUUAAGCAGCCCGCCGAUAAACUUAUAGCCAUCCUAAACAGGCAGUAGCAUAUCUGAGGUCCGGCGACUCGGUCAAAGUCUCCUUUCCACCGAUCUCCUUUCCAAUAUAUCUUUCAGGAAAAUUAUAGGGUACUGUGAGGUAGGUACAGAAGAAUAUCUUGGGCCAUUGGAUGUGAUCUUCAACAUUCAUCUUCAAUUUUGGUAAACAAAAAAAAAGAAAAAACAUAUAUAUAUAUAUAUAUAUAUAUAUAUAUAUAUAUAUAUAUAUAUAUAUAUAUAUAUAGAUACAUAUAGCAAGGUAGUUCUCUUUCUUUAGAUUCAUGAUCCUAGCUGACAUAGAAGAUAUCAUAAACUCUUUGGCAGGAAAGAGCUCUUUUGGAUGUUACUGGUUUUCAAUACCCUCUCAUUACGUCCUCAAGGAUGAAAAUAUCGAUAAUCACGGAUAUAUCGGUAACUUGAUUUUAUGGAUAUAUCGGAUAAAUAUCGACGGAUAUUUUGGAAAAAAAUUUUUGUAGACAAAAAAUUGAUCAAAACUCAUGAAAAUGUAAGAAAAACCUCAUAACAAUGUAAUUAGAAGUAUAAUAAACAAUUUAAAUUUGUUUUGUUGAAGAAUUUGAUAUAUAUAUAUAUAUAUUAUAUGAUAUGCGAUAUUAGAUGUAAUUAUAUUAUGUGGGUUGAUAAAAAAUAUGAAUUUUGUAAUUGUACACUCAUUAUCAAGUUCAUGAAAGACUUGAUUUCAUUAAAUAUCAAUAAUUUGUACAAAUUAUCACAUAGCCGUUGGAGUUGAACUUUGACCGUUGGAUCACAUCCAGCUUCAAUUUGGACCAUCAGAUGCAUAUGAGUCAUGAUUUGUUUCCAUUUUCUUUUUUAUCUUUACUAAAUCUAAAAUGCUUUUAUUCAAAAAUGUUUUAUUAUAUUUUAAAUAAAAAAUUAAAUUAAUUUAUAUAAAAUAUUUUAUUUGAUAUUUAAUUUCUAAAAUUUUAUUAAAAUGUGGUAACAACUUUUUAUAUCAAUAUUAAUUUAUUUAAAAACAUUAAAAAAAAUAGAUAUAAAUAAAAAAAAAAUUGAUAUAAAAUUUUUAAAAUAUAUUUAUCCAUAAAAAUAAAAAUUUCUUCACAUGCCGCAAUUGCAUUAUUUUAUUUUUAAAAUAUAAAAUAGUUUUCUUAUUUAAAAAGCUAUAAGUGCAAAUCAUUUUGUACAAAAUUUUAAAAAUUUAAAUUCCAGAUAAAAAUCAGUAUGAUAAUGUUUUAACAUGUUUUGAAUUGUUUACAAUGUGUUAGGAUUCACUUACUAAGUCACAACCAUAUGUUUUGUUCAUGUUCUUAUCCAGAAGAAUGUUGAUAGUCUUCAAAUCUCGAUGAAUAAUUCUCAAUCUAGAGUACUAAUGGAGAUAAAGAAGUCCCUGAGCCACCCCUUGAAUGAUGUGAACCCAUGCCUUCCAAUUCAAUACUGGAUCCAUCAAGUCCAGCCCUAUGUUGUUUUUCCACAUAUCCCAUGCCUAAAGGAAAGAAAAUGUUCUUUUGAUGCAAAUUUCCAAAGAAGAAAAACAGAUGUAUAGUCCUUUUUAUUGCAUGCAAAGAACUUCAACUUAAAAUUGACUAGUAAAUCAAGAAUUAGUAUAUUAGAACAUUGUAGAUUGUGUUACUCACAUAUCUAAGAAGACUGAGUGAGUCACUUUGGUAAAAUGUAGUAUUCUUUUUGCCUCUUAGAAUCUCCCGUAACAAGACCCUGAAGCUAAAGACAUCUGAUUUAGUUGAAAAUAGGCCUUCCAAAGCAUAUUCAAGGGACAUGUAGCUAGCCACUAAAUUUCAUUAUUAGAACAAAUUAUUUAGUGGUUGCUUUGUAACAAAAAUGUAUAUAUAUAUAUAAAAAAAAAAAAGAAAGGCCAUGUUGUGUGAGAAUUCACAUAUUUUACACUUUGCAAGGAUUCACUUACCAAGUCUCAAUUAUAUUAUUUGUUGCUAUCAACUAAUUUUCUCCAAAAAUUCUUGCCAAUCCAAAAUCUGAUAUUUUGGGUUCAUGUCCAUAUCCAAAAGAAUGUUGCUAGCCUUCAAAUCUCAAUGAAUAACCCUCAAUCUGGAGUACUGAUGGAGAUAAAGAAAUCCCUGAGCAACCCCUUCAAUUAUGUGAAUGUGUGUUUCCCAGUCCAAAAUCCCAUGUCUUGUAGGAUCCAUCCCAAUUUUACACCAAAUAAAUACAAACUAGUGUCAGUAAAUAAGAGGCCAACAACAAUGAAUGAAAAAAGCUUUUUAUUGAGCAUAGGAUAAACAAAAGUUUAGAUAUGUUGAGAAGUACAAACCAAAAGGAAGAAAUCUAAACUUUUAUUAGCCAUAUACUCAUAAACCAGUAUCUUCUCAUCUAGUUCAAUGCAACAACCCAAAAGUCUAACAAGAUUCUUAUGUUGGAGCUUGGCUAUAAGCAUGGCUUCAUUUUUUAACUCCUCCCAUCCCCGUUCUUAUCGUUUUGAAAGUCUUUUCACAACUACCCUCAUAUUGUCUUUGUUAUUUUCCCUAUCAUUAUGGUUGAAAGUUGCGGUAUCGAUCAUUGACUUGAGAGAUCUUAACACACAUCGAUCUUGGGGUUAAAGUUUCCAUAACUUCUUCUAGAGUUAUAUUCCACCUUCAAAGAGAAAGAAUCAUAGCUUCCACUCUCUCUUCAUCCAUUCCCACUAAAAGUGCAUUAAGAUCAAGGUUCAAGUCAUCGAACAAAAAAUUGUAGAUUUACAAGACUUCCAACAACUUCGAAGUCAUCUUCAAAUCCCCAAUUCUCAUGCACCAACUACCAACCUUUCUUCAAAUCCCUAACUCACCCAUACUAGAGAGAGAGAGAGAGAAAGAGAGAGGAAGGCAGACAAAAGCAGGCGAGAAUUGAGACCAAAAUUAGAGAGAUGAGGGACCAAAUGCAGUGAUGGCCGCUCAUGUCAAUGAAGGGGAUCUUCUUAUCACACCAAUCACCACAACAGGACCAUUGAAGACGCUCCACAUCCAUGAUCGUUCUGAAGUUAGUGAUACCAUAACCUCUUCUUCUUAUGCACCUCCAAGACUCAAUCAUGGGUUAGAUUGAUGUCUUUCUUCCUCUUCAUCAUGGUUAUUGAGAAACUUUUCCUUUUGAUGACAAUCUUUGAUUUUUUUAGAGGUUUUUUUGGUUUACAUCUCCUUUGUUGUUCCUCUAUUGUGAUUUGAAAGUGAAAAAAUGAUUUCUUUUGUUAACUUGAAUGGUUCAACCGAGUCAACUCGGAAGCUCCAUUGAGAUAACCGAGUUUAAGCGAUUCCUGAUUGAGUAUGAGUCUAUACGACUCAGCUAAGUAGUACUGGACUCGGCUUGUUCUUGAAUCGAUAGAAUUAAAGGAAUGCUUGGUGAAGGGAUAUGGUGUCUCCAUUUAUUUAAUUUAAUUGAUUACUUAUUUUUGGAUUGCAAAAUAAUCGUGUUAUUAUUUAUAUGAAAUAUUGAAUGAGUUUUGGGACAUUUAAGGGCAAGAGUACUAAGUAGAUUAAUUAUUUUUAAUUAAAUUCAAAACAAUCUUAAUUUGAAAGUUAUUUGAAUGGGAAAUAUAUUUAGGAACUAGUAAAAAGAAAAUUCUUUAAAUUUGAUCCUUCUCAAAUAAUUGAAAAAUAUCUUUUUUCUCGGAAAAUACUCAUAAGUAGAAAAUUUAUCUCAAAAUUAGAAAUUGAAGAACUUAGGGGCACAUAUUUUAAUUAAACAUGUCAAUUUCAAUUAAAAUAAAAAUAAAUAAAUAAAAUAUAGAAAAGGCGAUAAGUGGAUAGUGAUAGAUCUGUGUUGACAGUAACAACCACAGAUGGAUUUGUGAAUGAAUAGUCUCGGUUAGCUACCCACACAAUGGUUUGCUUUGAGAUUUUCUUGUACCAUAUCCCCACAUAAUAUUUUGUGGACUUUCUAGGAGAAAAGAAUCCUAAUUCAAAGUUACCAGCAACAAAUAUAAUGGUAUGAGAGGUUGUGAGUGAUUGACCUUGUAAGAUUGUAUCUAUAAAGGCCUCAACAAAUUGCCAGUGAAAACUUGAAGAAAUAAGCAAGAAAACAAGAUUAACAGUGUAACGCUCAAGUAUUUUUUUUUUAAGGGUAAUUUAGGAAAUUACUAAUAAUAAUUAAAUUAGUUAAUUAAUUAAUUUAAUAAAGUGGAAGAGGGGUAAAAGUGUAAUUUUACGAAUAAAUACCCUAAGUAUAAAUUAGAAAUUCUAUUUCUUCCUGUUCUUUUAUGAAUAGAGUUCAUGUUCGCAGAAUUUUAGAGAACGUAGGUUGGAGUCAGAUUUCAGGGUUGAAGAACAGAUCUCUAUAGGUAAGAUUCUAACCCCUAGUUUAAUAUUUUAGAUUCAUUGAUUAAUUUCAAACACAUUAGAUAUCUUUUGGAAAACCCAAAUCUAGAUUAGGGUUAGUUUUUUUUUUUUUUUUUAAUUCGUUUUAAUAUCAAUAGUAAAAAAAUAAAAAUUUAAGAUUUUGAUUUAUUGUUGGUAUUUGGGAGAUCUUAAGUUUUAUUAGAUGAAAAAAAAAAAAAGGUUCCUUGGAAGGUUUCGAUUUUAUAUUAGGGUUAAUUCUAUUUUUUUUAAAAGUAAAUAAAUAUAUUGUUAUUUGUGGUGGAAGGGAUUAGAAAAAAUUAAUAAAAAGAAAAAAUAAAUAAAUAAAUAAGAAAAGAAGAGAACACGUGUGCACAGUACUGGAACAAAGAAUAGAAAAAAAAAACAAGAGACGCGUGUGCACACUAGAAGGAAGGAAAAAAAAACAGGUGGGGCGUGACAGUGCUAUGGAGGCUUUUAUAUAUAUAUAUAUAAUGAAUCAUCAUUAGGCAAAAAAAAAAAACUUGUUUUUUGGUGUGUACCCGAGAUGAGUAAUGGUUGGGUGGCUAUUGAAUUGGAUAAUUAAAAAAAUAAUGAUAUUUAGUUUUAGAUUAAUAAAUAAGAUAAGAGUAAUAAUGGUCUUUUUGUAAUAAAUAGAAUGAGAGAUUUAGCAAUAUAUAUAUAUAGAAUUUUAUAAUAAAAUAAAAUUGUAAUUUAAUUAAAUUAGUAAUGUGUUAUUAGAAACAAAUUGAGAAUUUAUUAAUUUUAUUUAAAUAAGGAAUAGAUUAGUUAAAUUAUAGAUAAAUAGUAAUAAUUAUUUCUCUUAUGUUAUAUUAGGAGAAUAGUAGAUUUUUCCAGAAUUAUUUUUCUCUCAAGCUUUCAAGGUCUUUGCAUAAUUUGAGGUAAGGGAAGUUAAUGCAAUAUUUAUAAAAUUAACUUAUUUUAUAUGUUAUUUUGAAUUGUGGAAAAGAAAAUGAUAUUUUGUUACCAUGCAUGGAUCAAACUGUUUUGCACUAAAUAUUAUGUUGGAAUAUUUUGUUUUAUUUAUGACACAAAAUAUGGAGAUAUUACGUUGUGUAAAUUUGAAUACUUGAACAAAAACAUCACUCUGGUUUAUUUGGCCCUUGUCAACGGGAUAUAAUAGUUGACUAUUCGGCCCUGUCAACGGGAUAUAAUAGUUGACCUUUACAUUUCAUGGUGGGAAUGUAAUUGAUUUGGACCCCAGCCUCUAGGGGUUUGGUUAGAGGUUACUAGUACUAGUAGUGUUUGGUUCUAUCUACCAGGAACAAUUUGAGGCUAGCCACCCAUUUGAAAAGUCCCACCUAACUGGGUAUUUGAUAUUUGAUAACCAGAGUAAUGAAAAUUGAAUGGAUUUGAUUGAAUCUUAUGUGAAAGUGUUUGAAUUUGAUAUGAAAAUGGUUGGUUGAAAUUAGGAAUGGCAAUUUCGCGGGUUUUUCGGGUCACCCACCCCUUCCCGCCCUGAUUAGAACGGGUAUGGGAGCAUAGAAAUGGGAUGGGUUCAGGUUUUAAAAAAAAACCCGAAUUGGGUUCGGGGCGGGAUCGGGUUUAGUAACAAUAUGCCCCGCCCCGCCCCGAAUAUGAAAUUACAAGUUUACCCCCACCUAUAAAUAUUUGCUUCCUAUCCUUUCUGGUCUUCCUCUCCCGUUUUAGGUUUUUUUUCUCUCGUUUUAAGGUUCUCGUUCCUGGGGUUGUUGAUGAGAACACAAGUGAUGAUGGAGACGGAGCUGUCCCGAAUCACCUGAGACGACCUCAUCAUACUAGAUUGCCUCGACCCCUUUCUAUACCAGUUUCCAGUGUGAAGAAAUGGCUUCCGCAAAUCCCUCCCAUCCUCGUUCUCGUCCCUGAAACUCAUCCCUAAUAUGCAAUCAGCAACUCAAGUGUUCGUCAAAAUGCUAAAAGAUGGUGUGUUUUGGACAGUUGGAGUACUCAAUGCAGAAAUCCAUCAAUAAUCCACCCGAAACUGCCAUUUUCUCCAUGGGAAUCAUUUUAGGUAUUUUUUUUUUUGGAAUUUUGAUUUUUUGGUUUUGGGUGUUUUUUUGUCAGUUUUUGGGCAAAAGAUGAGAGAUUUGAAUGUUGAUUUGUUUGGUUUGGGGUGUUUUUUUUGUCAAUUUCUGGGCAAAAGAUGAGAAAUUUGUUGGUGAUAUUUGGGAUUGUCCAGAUUUGUAAUCUGGUGGCAACAAGGUGGUCUUUUUGCUAAUUUAUUUUCCUCAUUUCAGCAAUUUGUAACUCAUUGUUUUCACCUGUUUUUGGGCAACUCGGGUCGGAAUGGCUGGGGAUGGAAUUUUGAUUAUUAUUUCAAAACGGGGAUGAGAUUACAUACCCCGCCCCGCCCCGGGUUUGGGACGGGGAUGAGAUUUGUUUUGAAUAAACGGGACGAGGUUGGGAUGAGGGCGACCCGUCCCGUUGCCAUUCCUAGUUGAAAUUUGAAUAUAUUGGUAUUUUUGAAACUUUGAUAUUUGAUGAGAAAAAAAAAUGAUAUCUUCUAUUUGAAAUGAAAAUAUUUGAUCCAUGAACUGCAUUAAUAUUCCUUAUUGGGCUGUGAGCUCAUUCCCAAUUGUUGAAAAUUUUUCAGGUACCUUUAAUUCGGGCGAGGAGUGAUGACUAGGCGGGAAAGUUGGUCAUCAUUAGGAUUUUUCUUAGGAUGUUAUUUUUUAACAUUGUUAGCUUAUAAGUUUAUGUUCAUUUGGUUUAUUUAGUUUUUGGAAGCUAUUUAGAUAUUGAGCUUUUAAAUUUUUUUUUUUAUGAUAGAUUGAAGUUGAGAUUUGGAGAUUAUAAAAAUUCGUUAGUACUUGAUUUGUUGAGUUGCAAUCUAUUUGGAUAAUGGAUUUUGGUUGAUGGAUGCUUAGUUCUAAAGUUAAAUUUGGAGAUUUUAGAAUUUUGUUCUACUACUCUGAACAGGUUUUUGAUAAUUGGUUACUUCCAAUUACAAUAUGAUUAUUUGGAUCAGGUUAUACUUUAAGCCUUCGGGUUUGAGGUGUAAAAUGACCGUCACGCCCUUGGAGUGGGUCUUGGGGCGUGACAAGUAGACCACCUUCUGGUUGAAAUUUUGAUGUUACCUAUAACUCAUAAGUAGGAUUUAAGCAGCCCAUCAAUAAUCUUAUGGCCAUCCAAAACAGGCAGUGGCAGACCUGUGGCCCAGCCACUGGUGAGUCGAAAUCUCCUUUCCACUGACUUUCCUUUCAAUAUAUCUUCUAGGAAAAUUCUACAGCCCUGUGUGGUAGCAAUAGAAGAACAUCUUCCAUUCUUCCCUUUCUUCCAUUCUUUCCCUUUACAUUCAUCAUCGCAGCUGUCCUGGAAGAUAUCCAACUCAUAGAGUUAAUCAAACAUAAAAAAAUUAUUUUCUUUUUUUUUUCUUUUUUUGAUUUGUUUAUAGAUGAUUUUUUACUUUUAUUUUUAUGGUUAUUGGUUUCUUCGAUGAUGAUUUUUUACGAUAUAUAAAUCCAUUUUAACUUUGUUGUUAGAUGGAUUAAUUUUUAAUUUUUAAUCUUAUUUAGACAAUUUAUCUUUAAAUAAUAGAAUUGGUUGUUAUAAUUCUUAUCAUUUUUAUUAAAUUCUAAUUCUAAUUCAAUAAAAUAAAUACGGUCAAAAAUUUGAAAUUGACGGGUUGCGAACUUUUAUUAUAAUUGUCUUGACUGAUUUACAUUCUCUAGAGGUAAGACACGAAAGAGUUGUUUUCGAUACCAUACUAUUAAUGUUUGACCCAUUUGUUCAUUUAUCAUUUUUCAAAGGGAGAAUUACCAAAGAUGGUGGGCUCCAUACUGCUAAUGUUUGACCCGUUUGUUCAUAUCUCAUUUUUCAAAAGGAGAAUUAUCAAAUAUGAUGGGCUCUGAUUGAUAAUGAGUCAUCAACUUGAUAAUCUUUCAUAUGCUUCAAAAUAUAAAAACUCAAAUAUACCCUUAUGUCUUUUAUUUUAAAGUCAAGCAUAUCCUUAUUUGGCCUUUUCCCUAUUUUGUAUUUUAUUUAUUUUAUUUUAUUUUUUAAUUAUUAUUUUUAAAAUAUGAAUAAUAAUCAUAAAAAUAAAUAAUAUUAGUAAGAAUGAUAUUAAUAAAUAACAUGAAUAAUUCAAAAUAUUAAUAUUAUAAAUAAUAAUAUUAACAUUAAUAAUAAUAACAAUGUGUAAAAAAGUAUAAAAGAAAAACAAUAAAAAGAAAAGUAAAAUUAAAUGAGAAUAAUAGGGAAAAUGCAAAAAUAAUAAUAAUAAUAAGGUACAAUUAGAAUUCCGAAAUUAUCAACUUUUGAAAGCUCUUGAUAGGAAUUUGUAAACAUGGUGACCCUUUUGGGUCAUUAUCACUGGUAGCUUACCCUAAACGGGAAUUCUUCUUUUUUGAAAUUCAUGUUGGACCUUUUCGCUAGAUACAAUUUAAUAAUUGGAAGAAUACCACAUGCAUUUUUUGUAUAGAAGGAGGUCCUCUUAGGAUACAACAUUGUUUAAAAUCAUUUAUAUAACUACAAUUUUUUUACCAAUAUCUUAUUAAAAAAAUGGAAAAUAACAAAAAUCCCCCAUUAGGCCCACAUUACUUCUUUGUAUGCUGGCACAAAGUCACUUAUGGGUGGAGGAAAAACAUAAGAGAUUUAUUUUUUCAACCAAAUUUAAUAUUAAGGUGGUUUUACCUUUUUUUUUUUUUUACUUAAUUUUAAUUUGAAUUUAAAACUAAAUAGUAUUUAAUAACAUUAACUAGUAAGUUAUUUUUAAAAAGAUUUUAUUUUUAUUAAAUAUUUAAGAAGUAAAAGAAAACCUAUAAAUUACUUUUAGCAUCCAGAAAAGUCAAAUAUCAUUUUUUAUAAUAAAAAAAAUUAAAAAAUAAGUAAUAUAUUAACAAAAUGUACAAAAACAAACUAUUUGAAAUCUAAAACAAAAAUAUUUUUCUAUAAAAAAAAUUUAAAAACAAACAGCACCUAAUUUUUCAUAAUCAUCUUUACAUUCUUUUCUUUAAAAGAGAUUUGUGUUCAAAUCCAACUCUACUAUUUAUUCUUGAGUGUCCAUCAAUGCUUGGUGGUACAGUGAUUUCACAUUUUCCUUUAGGGGGUGUUUGGUACAUGGGAAUAGGGAGUGAGAAUAGACAUCUUAUUCCUUUUCUACCUUAUUCCUAUGUUUGGAUAAAUAUUAAGAAGACGAAAAUGGAAUAAAAAAUUAUUCAGGCAGAAAUCAAAUCCAACUUAUAACUCGGAUUUGCAUUCAUCAAAAGUAGGUGGUAUUCUGAUUCAUUAAACUCAUUUGAUAAUAUAAAAUAACCUAAAUUACUAUUUUACGCUCUUAUCUCAUUCUUCAAGCCUGAUGUUUAUUUUUUUUGUAAAGGUAGAGAUUCAUUCAUCAUCUACUUCUUAUCUUCUUUGCAAAGUUAGAGACCCACUCAUCAUCCAAUUCUUUGCAACAAGUGAUUCUUCCAAAUUGAAUUAAUCAAACCUUCCACGACAUUUAGAAAAUUCAAUUUCUUAGUAAAAUAUAAUUCUAUAGCUUUUUUUGCAUGACAAAUUAUUUAAAAUUUUGAUUAAAAAAUGAAUAUUUAAAAAUUUUUAAGGUUAUAGAUUUUAUCGGAUAUGAUAUUUGUUGAAAAUUAGAAUAAAUUUGAAUUCUUUUAUUUUCUUUUUUGGAAAUAGGAAAAAUAUUUGCUAGUUUUAAGAAUUUAAAUAUUAUAAUAAAUGAGGUAUUUGUCAAGUUCUUGAAAAUCAAUUUAAUAAGUUUAGAAAAUCAUUUGAACGAUAGAUGCAUGUCUUUUCUGGUUGGCUUCCGGGUCAAUCUUCUACUGCAAGCCCCACUAAGGAAUAUAAACGUUUUUGCCACGAUGUAAGCUUUGUUUGUAACGAUGCCUUUUCAUUUUAAGCUAUGGGGAUGAGGGUAGACUUCAAAUUCCUCAUCCACAUCCUGAACUCCCUCAGAUUUCUUGGCAACCAAAUGGAUUUUAUUGAAAUCAUGUCCAAUAAGAAAAGAAGGUUUUACGAGUACUCAACGUAAACCUUCGAUUAUAAUAUUUCUUCUCUUAAAAAAAAUGUUAGAUGAUGUCACAGCAUAAAAGGCAAAAAAAUUCUGCAGCUGCUUUCCUUCCUCACUUUCCCUCUUGCCUACAUGUUAAUUAGUACUUAUGCUUAGCUGUAGCAUGUGCAGAAGCUCGUCUUUCCUAGUACUAGUUGAAUAUUUUCUGUAGCUCUGACGGUUGUAUUUUACACUCUGGAUUGGCAAUGCAUAAAAGCAGAUUCAGUAGCAAUUAAGAUGGGAAGAUGAGAUACAAUAUUUUGAAAAAAUAAAAACUAUCUUGAUAAAUUAAUGAUUUAUUAAUUAAUACACAAUUAAUAUUCACUUAAUUAAUUGAUUUUCCUUGUUCCCAAGCUAUUAAUUUAUGGACGAUUAGUUGUAUCUUAAAAGAAAAAAAGAAAAAAGAAAUCUCAAAAUGGUCUAAGACUUAAAUGCAUCUUCCCUGGAUAAGCAUAAUUCAAUGUAGCAGGUAGCAGAACUUGACCGUCAUUUUCAUCAAAGUCUUCCCUAAUUUCUGUGGUUGAAUAGAUUAAACAACAUUAGAGUGGCAGGAAAUGAUCCUUUUCAUGCUGAUGAAUUGAUAGAAGAAAUCAGAUACCUGAUUUUCCCCAGCUGGGUCUGCUGCUUUUCUUUCCCUCAAAGUCUUGGAACCUCCCAUGCACUGUAUUUUGGAGAACCAUUCAGAAAUGUUUUCAGAUUUUCUGUCUCCAGAGGCCAUUGGAAAAAAAAAAAAAAAACUCAUUCAAUGCAGAGACCAACUACCAUUCAAAGCAAGGUGUAGUAGUUUUGAAAGACCUUUUGUUAGGAUUCCCUUCUAGAUAUAUUUCCUUCUAUGACUUUUCCAAUUUGUAUCGGACCUUUCUUCAAUCUAGACCAUGCCCAGAAUGAGAAGAAUUAUGGAAAGAACACUAAAUUCAUGUACUUAAGGCCCCACUGGAAUUAGAUUUUCUAUGCUGGACGGCAAAAUAAUUAUCUACUUUUUGACUUGCUAUAUGUUAUCUCUCCUAAAAUAUUCAAUGAAACUGAUUCCCAAGCCAAGCGCAGGGUCCCAUAAAUGACCAUUAUUUCACCCAUUUUGCUUUUGAAGUCUAUGUUGUAGAGAUGAGAGAGGCUCAAUGGGCUCGUUUAGCCCUACUUGAGCUUGAGCUUGAGCUUGAGCUUUCCAUCAUAAACUACAGAAAUUGUAGACUUCAAGUUAUUUCUCUUUUGCAUUUUCCUUAGUUUUCUCAGCAACCAAAGGGGUUUUACUCAAACUAUGUCCAAACAAAUGGGAAGUGUUAUAAGUCACAGGAAACGUUAUACCACAUUUUUUUUCUUCACUAAAAUUGUUUGAUCACUUUGGAUUUGGAAGGCGAAAAAUCUACAUCUGCUUAAUUAAUUCCUCCCUUUCCCUCAUGCCUAUAUGCUGAGUAGCUGAAUUGUCUUCGCUAUUGCUAGUUGAAUGAAGCACUGUAUGAUAUGAAUCUGAACCUGAAGCUAACCCUGCUUCUAUUUACUCCCUGCCCCCAUUAUAGCUAAGUUAAUACCUACACCUGGGUUCUGAUAAUUUCUUUCCCCACUGACAUAUCCAUCAAUUACAGCAUCUUGUCCUCGUACCCCAUUCCCCAUACCAAAAACUGUUUCAAAAUUAUCUUCUUUCAGACGCCGAGUGAAAACUUAAUUCACUUACUAUGCUAAUAUAUAAAAUUACAGGAAAAGAAAAAAAAGUGGAAGGUGGAUAGUUGACUCUCUAUAGAGGGAUUGGCCCUAAAUGCGCCAUUUGUUUUGAGCUCUGAAAAUUGUCCUCCACUCUUUGGAUUGAUGAGGGAACAGAUCAUAAUCAAAUUAAAUCCAAAUUCAACUGGAUAAAAUCAGACUUCAUAACAAUUUCAGAUAAAAAUAUUAGACACAGGUCUGAAUGAUUAUUGAACUGUUUUGGAAGAAAAAUUCACACAGAUCACGUGUCCAUUUCAAUACAUGAGCUAUGAAUUCGCAAAAACAACGCAAGACAAUAUGCUGAAAUUUAAGCAUAUUAUUUUUUAAGUUCUGAACCAUUAUCGUGCUUGCAUAAUUGAAAGUGUCACACCAUUUAAGGAACAAAUUUCAGGCCUGUUUUGAAAUAUAUGUGGUUCCACCCCACUUCUCAGAUUUGAAAAUGCCGGUUGUUUUGGAGAAGGUAAAUGUACACUUUCAUUGCCAAGCAUUGAGACAACAUCAGACAUGGUAGGCCUGUCAUUUGCACUUUCUUGAACACAAAGAAGGCCUAUAUUGAUGUACUUCAACAGAAUGUGUCUUGGCAAUGUCUCUUCCAACACUGGAUCCAUCAAUUCCUGUCCCCUGCUGUCUUUCCACAGAUCCCAUGCCUUUUUUUAUUGAAUACACAAUAGCUAGAAGUUCGGAUAUGUAGAAGUUACAAACCAAAUAGGAAGAAAUCCAAGCUUUUGUUGGGCAUAUACUCAUAAAUCAAUAUCUUCUCAUCUUGCUCAAUGCAGCAGCCGAAUAGCUUCACAAGAUUCUUAUGUUGCAGCUUGGCUAUGAGCAUGGCCUCAUUUUUUAACUCCUCCCAUCCCUGUCCAGAUCUUUUUGAAAGCCUCUUCAAAGCUACCUCAUACCCUUUUUGUGACUUUCCCUGUAAUGGGAAUUUCGGCUGAGUACAAUUACAUCAAGUAAAAGAAAAUUUGUAUUUACCUAGUGGGCCUUUACAGUUAAGGACAGAUUGUAGAACAGUCAGAAGAAUUUUCACAUUUCUUUUCUGAAAGGCAUUGCUGUUAGUGAUACGAAUCUCACCUUGUAAACAGGUCCAAAACCACCCUCUCCUAGUUUAUUUUCAAUAGAGAAGUUAUUGGUAGCAGCAGAUACACUCACAAAACUGAACAUUGGCAAAUCAACUUCCUUCUUCUCACCUCUCCAAAGUUUAUUUGCCUCACUAAGUUCAUAGUUGGUAUCUACUGAGCUGUUACUUAAAUCAAAUAGUAACAAAUUUUCCCCUGCUUGAUAAAGAACAAACAGAUGUUAAGUAUCUUAAGAAUGUAGGAAUUCUGGAAUGGGAAUAAAUUGUUUCAUUAUUGAUUUUUAUCACACUGUAGUGCCUGGUACAUACUCACAUGUAAUCAGGAGAUCGAAAUCCUAAUAAGGCCUUAAUUAUUCUACAACAAUGGUAAUGAACUCAUUGCAGAAAAGAAAUGGUUUUGUAUGUGUAGAUGGAAUCUAAAUGCCCUUGAAUCGCUUGGCCAUCUUCUAUCCAUGAAAAAUACUGACCUUUUCUUCGUAGCCUUCUCUGUAUCCCCCAAAUGACAAAGGCUGAAGUUACGGAAAUGGCCAGUGUAACAAUUAGCCAUACCUUCCACUUGCUGCUUGAAACUGCAAAAAGAAAUAAAUGUAACUAAUCUUUGAUGAACUUCAUCUUAUAUUUAAGAAAAAGAAAAUCAUAUGCUCUGUCCUACAAAAAAAGUUUGACCAAUCCCUACUUUUAUUACCUUUCCCACUUAGCUCAGAGGCCGCAAGUUUGAGAUAGAAAUCUUGACCAUUACUGUUGUCAUCUGAUAGCUGUUGCAAGUUUAGAAGAUCUCCACCCCAUACUGUACACUUCUCCAUGUAGUAAGAAUAAGCAGAGCAAGAGCAGUUAUUUAGGCAAUCUGACUCGCACUGCAUGGCACCACUCGUUGGGAGUGUUAGUGGAUAAUCUGGCAGCCUCACAUUAGACACCCGAUGAAACUGGUCUCUCUCCCCAUUAUCAUGAGUACUAUUGCCACACUGCAAAUCUGCUUUCCUCACACACCCUCCAGAUGUGUCGUUCAAGUUCCAGUUAUUAGGGAAGCCAGGUUCCAAACCUGGCAAACAUUCACAGAAUCUAUCGACUGCAUGGUCAUGACAGAUUCCAAAAGGCCCACAGUAAGCAUAAACCUCACAUUGCUUUUUUGGUUGAAACCAAAACAUAUGCCAUUGAUGAGAGGCUUCAAGCCAUGACAUUUGUUUAAUCUGCCCUGACACAUCCAGCACGAAUCUGCAUAUUUUUGAAGAAUUAUAAAUUGAGUAAUUGAUAUAGGUCUGCUCCUUACUAAACGAAUAACUGAAAUUAAACACAUCGUUUGAGCGCAUCUCACGAAUCAAGCUGAAAGCCUGCCCAUCCCUGUCCCAGGUGCCACUAGCCCAGUACAUUGUGGACCCUUGCAAGAUAAAAAUCUGGCCGCUUCCCUUAGGGUCGUACUUCAUGGAGAAAACUCCUGGACUGGGAUCUUCUGUGCUCUUCCAUGACACUAAUGACCAUGUUUUUCCAGCCCUUUUGUCGUAUCCAAGUUUCAUCCCCGGCAAGAAAGUGUGCGAUGGAUAGUCAAAGCUCUGCCAUAAGAUCCUCGAGUUGUUAUUUCUCAAAACAAGAUUUCCAGAAUCCAACAGGGUGGCACUAGUUUUGCUGUUUGAUGAUAUGCUUGUCAAUCUGUAUGAAAUUUUCCCCUCCCAAACCUCGAGGUUACCAUCUGUCCUGACAGUAAGAACCACAGACGGAUCUGUGAAUGAAUAAUCUCGGUUAGCUACCCACACAAUGGUUGGCUCUGAUACUUUCUUGUACCAUAUCCCCACAUAGUAUUUUGUGGAGUUUCCAGGAGAAAAGAAUCCUAAUUCAAAUUCACCACCCGCAGAUAUGAUGGUCUGAGAGGUUGUGAUUGAUUGACCUUGUGAGAUUGUAUCUGUAAAUGCAUCAGCAAAUUCCAAGUGAAAACCUGAAGAAAUAAGCAAGAAAACAAGAAUAACAGACCACCAACUGGUUGAAAAUUUCCUGCUAGCCAUAACUCAUAAGCAGCGUUUAAGCAGCCCGCCAAUAAACUUAUAGCCAUCCAAAACAGGCAGUAGCAUAUCUGAGGUCCGGCGACUCGGUCAAAGUGUCCUUUCCACUGAUCUCCUUUCCAAUAUAUCUUUCAGGAAAAUUAUAGGGUACUGUGAGGUAGGUACAGAAGAAUAUCUUGGGCCAUUGGAUGUGAUCUUCAACAUUCAUCUUCAAUUUUGGUAAACAUAUAUAUAUAUAUAUAUAGAUACAUAUAGCAAGGUAGUUCUCUUUCUUUAGAUUCAUCAUCCUAGCUGACAUAGAAGAUAUCAUAAACUCUUUGGCAGGAAAGAGCUCUUUUGGAUGUUACUGGUUUUCAACACCCUCUCAUUAUGUCAUCAAGGAUGAAAAUAUCGGUAAUCACGGAUAUAUCGGUAACUUGAUUUUACGGAUAUAUCGGAUAAAUAUCGACGGAUAUUUUGGAAAAAAAUUUUUGUAGACAAAAAAUUGAUCAAAACUUAUGAAAAUGUAAGAAAAACCUCAUAACAAUGUAAUUAGAAGUAUAAUAAACAAUUUAAAUUUGUUUUGUUGAAGAAUUUGAUAUAUAUAUAUAUAUAUAUAUAUAUUAUAUGAUUUGCGAUAUUAGAUGUAAUUAUAUUAUGUAGGUUGAUAAAAAAAUAUGAAUUUUGUAAUUGUACACUCAUUAUCAAGUUCAUGAAAGACUUGAUUUCAUUAAAUAUCAAUAAUUUGUACAAAUUAUCACAUAGCCAUUGGGGUUGAAUUUUGAUCGUUGGAUCACAUCCAGCUUCAAUUUGGACUAUCAGAUGCAUAUGAGUCAUGAUUUGUUUCCAUUUUCUUUUUUAUCUUUACUAAAUCAAAAAUGUUUUUAUUCAAAAAUGUUUUAUUAUAUUUUAAAUAAAAAAUUAAAUUAAUUUAUAUAAAAUAUUUUAUUUGAUAUUUAAUUUCUAAAAUUUUAUUAAAAUGUGGUAACAACUUUUUAUAUCAAUAUUAAUUUAUUUAAAUAAUUAUUUAAAAACAUUAAAAAAAAUAGAUAUAAAUAAAAAAAGAAAUUGAUAUAAAAUUUGUAAAAUAUAUUUAUCCAUAAAAAUAAAAAUUUCUUCACAUGCUGCAAUUGCAUUAUUUUAUUUUUAAAAUAUAAAAUAGUUUUCUUAUUUAAAAAGCUAUAAGUGCAAAUCAUUUUGUACAAAAUUUUAAAAAUUUAAAUUCCAGAUAAAAAUCAGUAUGAUAAUGUUUUAACAUGUUUUGAAUUGUUUACAAUGUGUUAGGAUUCACUUACUAAGUCACAACCAUAUGUUUUGUUCAUGUUCUUAUCCAGAAGAAUGUUGAUAGUCUUCAAAUCUCGAUGAAUAAUUCUCAAUCUAGAGUACUAAUGGAGAUAAAGAAGUCCCUGAGCCACCCCUUGAAUGAUGUGAACCCAUGCCUCCCAAUUCAAUACUGGAUCCAUCAAGUCCAGCCUUAUGUUGUUUUUCCACAUAUCCCAUGCCUAAAGGAAAGAAAAUGUUCUUUUGAUGCAAAUUUCCAAAGAAGAAAAACAUAUGUAUAGUCCUUUUUAUUGCAUGCAAAGAACUUCAACUUAAAAUUGACUAGUAAAUCAAGAAUUAGCAUAUUAGAACAUUGUAGAUUGUGUUACUCACAUAUCUAAGAAGAUUGAGUGAGUCACUUUAGUAAAAUGUAGUAUUCUUUUUGCCUCUUAGAAUCUCCCGUAACAAGACCUUGAAGCUAAAGACAUCUGAUUUAGUUGAAAAUAGACCUUCCAAAGCAUAUUCAAGGGACAUGUAGCUAGCCACUAAAUUUCAUUAUUAGAACAAAUCAUUUAGUGGUUGCUUUGUGACAAAAAUGCAUAUAUAUAUAUAAAAGAAAGGCCAUGUUGUGUGAGAAUUCACAUAUUUUACACUUUGCAAGGAUUCACUUACCAAGUCUCGAUUAUAUUAUUUGUUGCUAUCAACUAAUUUUCUCCAAAAAUUCCUGCCAUUCCAAAAUCUGAUAUUUUGGGUUCAUGUCCAUAUCCAAAAGAAUGUUGCUAGCCUUCAAAUCUCAAUGAAUAACCCUCAAUCUGGAGUACUGAUGGAGAUAAAGAAAUCCCUGAGCAACCCCUUCAAUUAUGUGAAUGUGUGUUUCCCAGUCCAAAAUCCCAUGUCUUGCAGGAUCCAUCCCAAUUUUACACCAAAUAAAUACAAACUAGUGUCAGUAAAUAAGAGGCCAACAACAAUGAAUGAAAAAAGCUUUUUAUUAAGCAUAGGAUAAACAAAAGUUUAGAUAUGUUGAGAAGUACAAACCAAAAGGAAGAAAUCUAAGCUUUUAUUAGCCAUAUACUCAUAAACCAGUAUCUUCUCAUCUAAUUCAAUGCAGCAGCCCAAAAGUCUAACAAGAUUCUUAUGUUAGAGCUUAGCUAUAAGCAUGGCUUCAUUUUUUAACUCCUCCCAUCCCCGUUCUUAUCGUUUUGAAAGUCUUUUCACAACUACCCUCAUAUUGUCUUUGUUACUUUCCCUGUCAUUAUGGUUGAAAGUUGCGGUAUCGAUCAUUGACUUGAGAGAUCUUAACACACAUCGAUCUUGGGGUUAAAGUUUCCAUAACUUCUUCUAGAGUUAUAUUCCACCUUCAAAGAGAAAGAAUCAUAGCUUCCACUCUCUCUUCCAUCCAUUCCCACUAAAAGUGCAUUAAGAUCAAGGUUCAAGUCAUCGGACAAAAAAUCGUAGAUUUACAAGACUUCCAACAACUUCGAAGUCAUCUUCAAAUCCCCAAUUCUCAUGCACCGACAACCAACCUUUCUUCAAAUCCCUAACUCACCCAUACCAGAGAGAGAGAGAAAGAGAGAGAGAGGAAGGCAGACAAAAGCAGGCGAGAAUUGAGACCAAAUGCAGUGAUGGCCGCUCAUGUCAAUGAAGGGGAUCUUCUUAUCACACCAAUCACCACAACAAGACCAUUGAAGAUGCUCCACAUCCAUGAUCGUUCUGAAGUUACUGAUACCGUAACCUCUUCUUCUUAUGCACCUCCAAGACUCAAUCAUGGGUUAGAUUGAUGUCUUUCUUCCUCUUCAUCAUGGUUAUUGAGAAACUUUUCCUUUUGAUGACAAUCUUUGAUUUUUUAGAGGUUUUUUUGGUUUAAAUCUUGUUUGUUAUUCCUCUGUUGUGAUUUGAAAGUGAAAAAAUGAUUUCUUUUGUUAACUUGAACAGUUCAACCGAGUCAACUCGGAAGCUCCAUUGAGAUAACCGAGUUUAAGCGAUUCCUGAUUGAGUAUGAGUCUAUACGACUCAGCUAAGUCGUACUGGACUCGGCUUGUUCUUGAAUCAAUAGAAUUAAAGGAAUGCUUGGUGAAGGGAUAUGGUGUCUCUAUUUAUUUAAUUUAAUUGAUUGCUUAUUUUUGGAUUGCAAAAUAAUCGUGUUAUUAUUUAUAUGAAAUAUUGAAUGAGUUUUGGGAUAUUUAAGGGCAAGAGUACUAAGUAGAUUAAUUAUUUUUAAUUAAAUUCAAAACAAUCUUAAUUUGAAAGUUAUUUGAAUGGGAAAUAUAUUUAGGAACUGGUAAAAAGAAAAUUCUUUAAAUUUGAUCCUUCUCAAAUAAUUGAAAAAUAUCUUUUUUCUCAGAAAAUACUCAUAAGUAGAAACUUUAUCUCAAAAUUAGAAAUUGAAGAACUUAGGGGCGCAUAUUUUAAUUAAACAUGUCAAUUUCAAUUAAAAUAAAAAUAAAUAAAUAAAAUAUAGAAAAGGCGAUAAGUGGAUAGUGAUAGAUCUGUGCUGACAGUAACAACCACGGAUGGAUUUGUGAAUGAAUAGUCUCGGUUAGCUACCCACACAAUGGUUUGCUCUGAGAUUUUCUUGUACCAUAUCCCCACAUAAUAUUUUGUGGACUUUCCAGGAGAAAAGAAUCCUAAUUCAAAGUUACCAGCAGUAGAUAUAAUGGUCUGAGAGGUUGUGAGCGAUUGACCUUGUAAGAUUGUAUCUGUAAAGGCCUCAACAAAUUGCCAGUGAAAACCUGAAGAAAUAAGCAAGAAAACGAGAUUAGCAGUGUAACGCCCAAGUAUUUUUUUUAAGGGUAAUUUAGGAAAUUACUAAUAAUAAUUAAAUUAGUUAAUUAAUUAAUUUAAUAAAGUGGAAGAGGGGUAAAUUUUACGAAUAAAUACCCUAGGUAUAAAUUAGAAAUUCUAUUUCUUCCUGUUCUUUUAUGAAUAGAGUUCAUGUUCGCAAAAUUUCAGAGAACGUAGGUUGGAGUCAAAUUUCAGGGUUGAAGAACAAAUCUCUAUAAGUAAGAUUCUAACCUCUAGUUUAAUAUUUUAGAUUCAUUGAUUAAUUUCAAACACAUUAGAUAUCUUUUGGAAAACCCAAAUCUAGACUAGGGUUAGUUUAUUUUAUUUUUUUUAAUUCGUUUUAAUAUCAAUAGUAAAAAAAUAAAAAUUUAAGAUUUUAAUUUAUUGUUGGUAUUUGGGAGAUCUUAAGUUUUAUUAGAUGAAAAAAAAAAAAAAGGUUCCUUGGAAGGUUUCGAUUUUAUAUUAGGGUUAAUUCUAUUUUUUUAAAAAAGUAAAUAAAUAUAUUGUUAUUUGUGGUGGAAGGGAUUAGAAAAAGUUAAUAAAAAGAAAAAAUAAAUAAAUAAAUAAGAAAAGAAGAGAACGUGUGUGCACAGUACUGGAACAAAGAAUAAAAAAAAAAAAAAAAAACAAGAGACGCGUGUGCACACUAGAAGAAAGGGAAAAAAAAAAAAACAGGUGGGACGUGACAGUGCUAUGGAGGCUUUUAUAUAUAUAUAUAUAAUGAAUCAUCAUUAGGCAAAAAAAAAAAAAAAACUUGCUUUUUAGUGUGUACCCGAGAUGAGUAAUGGUUGGGUGGCUAUUGAAUUGGAUAAUUAAAAAAAUAAUGAUAUUUAGUUUUAGAUUAAUAAAUAAGAUAAUAGUAAUAAUGGUCUUUUUGUAAUAAAUAGAAUGAGAGAUUUAACAAAAUAUAUAUAUAGAAUUUUAUAAUGAAAUAAAAUUGUAAUUUAAUUAUAUUAGUAAUGUGUUAUUAGAAACAAAUUGAGAAUUUAUUAAUUUUAUUUAAAUAAGGAAUAGAUUAGUUAAAUUAUAGAUAAAUAGUAAUAAUUAUUUCUCUUAUGUUAUAUUAGGAGAAGAGUAGAUUUUUCCAGAAUUAUUUUUCUCUCAAGCUUUCAAGGUCUUUGCAUAAUUUGAGGUAAGGGAAGUUAAUGCAAUAUUUAUAAAAUUAAAUUAUUUUAUAUGUUAUUUUGAAUUGUGGAAAAGAAAAUGAUAUUUUGUUACCAUGUAUGGAUCAAACUGUUUUGCACUAAAUAUUAUGUUGGAAUAUUUUGUUUUAUUUAUGACACAAAAUAUGGAGAUAUUACGUUGUGUAAAUUUGAAUACUUGAACAAAAACAUCACUCUGGUUUAUUUGGCCCUUGUCAACGGGAUAUAAUAGUUGACUAUUCGGCCCUGUCAACGGGAUAUAAUAGUUGACCUUUACAUUUCAUGGUGGGAAUGUAAUUGAUUUAGACCCUAGCCUCUAGGGGUUUGGUUAGAGGUUACUAGUACUAGUAGUGUUUGGUUCCAUCUACCAGAAACAAUUUGAGGCUAGCCACCCAUUUGAAAAGUCCCACAUAACUGGGCAUUUGAUAUUUGAUAACCAGAGUAAUUAAAAUUGAAUGGAUUUGAUUGAAUCUUAUGUGAAAGUGUUUGAAUUUGAUAUGAAAAUGGUUGGUUGAAAUUAGGAAUGGCAAUUUCGCGGGUUUUUCGGGUCACCCACCCCGUCCCGCCCCGAUUAGAACGGGUAUGGGAGCAUAGAAAUCGGGGAUGGGACGGAUUCAAGUUUUAAAAAAAAACCCGAAUCGGGUUCAGGGCGGGAUCGGGUUUAGUAACAAUAUGCCCCGCCCCGCCCUGAAUAUGAAAUUACAAGUUUACCCCCACCUAUAAAUAUUUGCUUCCUAUCCUUUCUGGUCUUCUUCUCCCGUUUUAGGUUUUUUUUCUCUCGUUUUAAGGUUCUCAUUCCUGGGGUUGUUGAUGAGAACACAAGUGAUGAUGGAGACGGAGCUGUCCCGAAUCACCUGAGACGACCUCAUCAUAUUAGAUUGCCUCGACCCCUUUCUGUACCAGUUUCCAGUGUGAAGAAAUGGCUUCCGCAAAUCCCUCCCAUCCUCGUUCUCGUCCCUGAAACUCAUCCCUAAUCUGCAAUCAGCAACUCAAGUGUUCGUCAAAAUGCUAAAAGAUGGUGUGUUUUGGACAGUUAGAGUACUCAAUGUAGAAAUCCAUCAAAUAAUCCACCCGAAACUGCCAUUUUCUCCAUGGGAAUCGUUUUAGGUAUUUUUUUUUUUGGAAUUUUGAUUUUUUGGUUUUGGGUGUUUUUUUGUCAGUUUCUAGGCAAAAGAUGAGAGAUUUGAAUGUUGAUUUGUUUGGUUUGGAGUGUUUUUUUUUGUCAAUUUCUGGGCAAAAUAUGAGAAAUUUGUUGGUGAUAUUUGGGAUUGUCCAGAUUCGUAAUCUGGUGGCAACAAGGUGGUCUUUUUGCUAAUUUAUUUUCCUCAUUUCAACAGUCUGUAACUCAUUGUUUUCACCUGUUUUUGGGCAACCCGGGUCGGAACGGCCGGGGAUGGAAUUUUGAUUAUUAUUUCAAAACAGGGAUGAGAUUACAUACCCCGCCCCGCCUCGGGUUUGGGACGGGGAUGAGAUUUGUUUUGAAUAAACGGGACGGGGUUGGGAUGAGGGCGACCCGUCCCGUUGCCAUUCCUAGUUGAAAUUUGAAUAUAUUGGUAUUUUUGAAACUUUGAUAUUUGAUGAGAAAAAAAAAUGAUAUCUUCUAUUUGAAAUGAAAAUAUUUGAUCCAUGAACUGCAUUAAUAUUCCUUAUUGGGUUGUGAGCUCAUUCCCAAUUGUUGAAAAUUUUUCAGGUACCUUUAGUUCGGGCGAGGAGUGAUGACUAAGCGGGAAAGUUGGUCAUCAUUAGGAUUUUUCUUAGGAUGUUAUUUUUGAACAUUGUUAGCUUAUAAGUUUAUGUUCAUUUGGUUUAUUUAGUUUUUGGAAGCUAUUUAGAUAUUGAGCUUUUAAAUAUAUAUUUUUUUUAUGAUAGAUUGAAGUUGAGAUUUGGAGAUUAUAAAAAUUCGUUAGUACUUGAUUUGUUGAGUUGCAAUCUAUUUGGAUAAUGGAUUUUAGUUGAUGAAUGCUUAGUUUUAAAGUUAAGUUUGGAGAUUUUAGAAUUUUGUUUUGCUACUCUGAAUAGGUUUUUGAUAAUUGGUUACUUCCAAUUACAAUAUGAUUGUUUAGGUCAGGUUAUACUUUAAGCCUUCGGGUUUGAGGUGUAAAAUGACCGUCACGCCCUUGGAGUGGGUCUUGGGGCGUGACAAGCAGACCACCUUCUGGUUGAAAUUUUCAUGUUACCCAUAACUCAUAAGCAGGAUUUAAGCAGCCCAUCAAUAAUCUUAUGGCCAUCCAAAACAGGCAGUGGCAGACCUGUGGCCCAGCCACUGGUGAGUCGAAAUCUCCUUUCCACUAACUUUCCUUUCAAUAUAUCUUCUAGGAAAAUUCUACAGCCCUGUGUGGUAGCAAUAGAAGAACAUCUUGCACAUCUCCUUUGCACUGACCUCCCUUAGGAAAAUUCUACAGCACUGUGUGGUAGCAAUUGAAGCAAGAUGAUAAUAUAUAUAUGUACAUAACCGACCCUCACUUUCCUUGAUACUUCAUUUUGUCUCUCUUCUUCCAUUCUUUCCCUUUACAUUCAUCAUCGCAGCUGUCCUGGAAGAUAUCCAACUCAUAGAGUUAAUCAAACAUAAAAAAAAAAAAUUUCUUUUUUUUUUCUUUUUUUGAUUUGUUUAUAGAUGAUUUUUUACUGUUAUUUUUAUGGUUAUUGGUUUCUUUGGUGAUGAUUUUUUAUGAUAUAUAAAUCCAUUUUAACAUUGUUGUUAGAUGGAUUAAUUUUUAAUUUUUAAUCUUAUUUAGACAAUUUAUCUUUAAAUAAUAGAAUUGGUUGUUAUAAUUCUUAUCAUUUUUAUUAAAUUCUAAUUCUAAUUCAAUAAAAUAAAUACGGUCAAAAAUUUGAAAUUGACGGGUUGCUAACUUUUAUUAUAAUUGUCUUGACUAAUUUACAUUCUCACUUGUGGUCAUUGUAGAGGUAAGACACGAAAAUGUUUGACCCAUUUGUUCAUUUAUCAUUUUUCAAAGGGAGAAUUACCAAAGAUGGUGGGCUCCAUACUACUAAUGUUUGACCCGUUUGUUCAUAUCUCAUUUUUCAAAAGGAGAAUUAUCAAAUAUGAUGGGCUCUGAUUGAUAAUGAGUCAUCAACUUGAUAAUCUUUCAUAUGCUUCAAAAUAUAAAAACUCAAAUAUACCCUUAUGUCUUUUAUUUUAAAGUCAAGCAUAUCCUUAUUUGGCCUUUUCCCUAUUUUGUAUUUUAUUUAUUUUAUUUUAUUUUUUAAUUAUUAUUUUUAAAAUAUGAAUAAUAAUCAUAAAAAUAAAUAAUAUUAGUAAGAAUGAUAUUAAUAAAUAACAUGAAUAAUUCCAAAUAUUAAUAUUAUAAAUAAUAAUAUUAACAUUAAUAAUAAUAACAAUGUGUAAAAAAGUAUAAAANNNNNNNNNNNNNNNNNNNNNNNNNNNNNNNNNNNNNNNNNNNNNNNNNNNNNNNNNNNNNNNNNNNNNNNNNNNNNNNNNNNNNNNNNNNNNNNNNNNNCAAUUUAAUAAUUGGAUGAAUACCACAUGCAUUUUUUGUAUAGAAGGAGGUCCUCUUAGGAUACAACAUUGUUUAAAAUCAUUUAUAUAACUACAAUUUUUUUACCAAUAUCUUAUUAAAAAAAUGGAAAAUAACAAAAAUCCCCCAUUAGGCCCACAUUACUUCUUUGUAUGCUGGCACAAAGUCACUUAUGGGUGGAGGAAAAACAUAAGAGAUUUAUUUUUUCAACCAAAUUUAAUAUUAAGGUGGUUUUACUUUUUUUUUUUUUUACUUAAUUUUAAUUUGAAUUUAAAACUAAAUAGUAUUUAAUAACAUUAACUAGUAAGUUAUUUUUAAAAAGAUUUUAUUUUUAUUAAAUAUUUAAGAAGUAAAAGAAAACCUAUAAAUUACUUUUAGCAUCCAGAAAAGUCAAAUAUCAUUUUUUAUAAUAAAAAAAAUUAAAAAAUAAGUAAUAUAUUAACAAAAUGUACAAAAACAAACUAUUUGAAAUCUAAAACAAAAAUAUUUUUCUAUAAAAAAAAAUUUAAAAACAAACAGCACCUAAUUUUUCAUAAUCAUCUUUACAUUCUUUUCUUUAAAAGAGAUUUGUGUUCAAAUCCAACUCUACUAUUUAUUCUUGAGUGUCCAUCGAUGCUUGAUGGUACAGUGAUUUCACAUUUUCCUUUAGGGUGUGUUUGGUACAUGGGAAUAGGGAGUGAGAAUAGACAUCUUAUUCCUUUUCUACCUUAUUCCUAUGUUUGGAUAAAUAUUAAGAAGACGAAAAUGGAAUAAAAAAUUAUUCAGGCAGAAAUCAAAUCCAACUUAUAAGUCGGAUUUGCAUUCAUCAAAAGUAGGUGGUAUUCUGAUUCAUUAAACUCAUUUGAUAAUAUAAAAUAACCUAAAUUACUAUUUUACGCUCUUAUCUCAUUCUUCAAGCCUGAUGUUUAUUUUCUUUGUAAAGGUAGAGAUUCAUUCAUCAUCUACUUCUUAUCUUCUUUGCAAAGCUAGAGACCCACUCAUCAUCCAAUUCUCUGCAACAAGUGAUUCUUCCAAAUUGAAUCAAUCAAACCUUCCACGACAUUUAGAAAAUUCAAUUUCUUAGUAAAAUAUAAUUCUAUAGCUUUUUUUGCAUGACAAAUUAUUUAAAAUUUUGAUUAAAAAAAAUGAAUAUUUAAAAAUUUUUAAGGUUAUAAAUUUUAUCGGAUAUAAUAUUUGUUGAAAAUUAGAAUAAAUUUGAAUUCUUUUAUUUUCUUUUUUGGAAAUAGGAAAAAUAUUUGCUAGUUUUGAGAAUUUAAAUAUUAUAAUAAAUGAGGUAUUUAUCAAGUUCUUGAAAAUCAAUUUAAUAAGUUUAGAAAAUCAUUUGAACGAUAGAUGCAUGUCUUUUCUGGUUGGCUUCCGGGUCAAUCUUCUACUGCAAGCCCCACUAAGGAAUAUAAACGUUUUUGCCACGAUGUAAGCUUAGUUUGUAACUAUGCCUUUUCAUUUUAAGCUAUGGGGAUGAGGGUAGACUUCAAAUUCCUCAUCCACAUCCUGAACUCCCUCAGAUUUCUUGGCAACCAAAUGGAUUUUAUUGAAAUCAUGUCCAAUAAGAAAAGAAGGUUUUACGAGUACUCAACGUAAACCUUCGAUUAUGAUAUUUCUUCUCUUAAAAAAAUGUUAGAUGAUGUCACAGCUUAAAAGGCAAAAAAAUUCUGCAGCUGCUUUCCUUCCUCACUUUCCCUCUUGCCUACAUGUUAAUUAGUACUUAUGCUUAGCUGUAGCAUGUGCAGAAGCUCGUCUUUCCUAGUACUAGUUGAAUAUUUGCAGUAGCUCUAACGGUUGUAUUUUACACUCUGGAUUGGCAAUGCAUAAAAGCAGAUUCAGUAGCAAUUAAGAUGGGAAGAUGAGAUACAAUAUUUUGAAAAAAUAAAAACUAUCUUGAUAAAUUAAUGAUUUAUUAAUUAAUACACAAUUAAUAUUCACUUAAUUAAUUGAUUUUCCUUGUUCCCAAGCUAUUAAUUUAUGGACGAUUAAUUAUAUCUUAAAAGAAAAAAAGAAAAAAGAAAUCUCAAAAUGGUCUAAGACUUAAAUGCAUCUUCCCUGGAUAAGCAUAAUUCAAUGUAGCAGGUAGCAGAACUUGACCGUCAUUUUCAUCAAAGUCUUCCCUAAUUUCUGUGGUUGAAUAGAUUAAACAACAUUAGAGUGGCAGGAAAUGAUCCUUUUCAUGCUGAUGAAUUAAUAGAAGAAAUCAGAUACCUGAUUUUCCCCAGCUGGUUCUGCUGCUUUUCUUUCCCUCAAAGUCUUGGAACCUCCCAUGCACUGUAUUUUGGAGAACCAUUUAGAAAUGUUUUCAGAUUUUCUGUCUCCAGGGGCCAUUGGAAAAAAAAAAAAAAAAAAACUCAUUCAAUGCAGAGACCAACUACCAUUCAAAGCAAGGUGUAGCAGUUUUGAAAGACCUUUUGUUAGGAUUCCCUUCUAGAUAUGUUUCCUUCUAUGACUUUUCCAAUUUGUAUCGGACCUUUCUUCAAUCUAGACCAUGCCCAGAAUGAGAAGAAUUGUGGAAAGAACACUAAAUUCAUGUACUUAAGGCCCCACUGGAAUUAGAUUUUCUACGCUGGACGGCAAAAUAAUUAUCUACUUUUUGACUUGCUAUAUGUUAUCUCUCCUAAAAUAUUCAAUGAAACUGAUUCCCAAGCCAAGCGCAGGGUCCCAUAAAUGACCAUUAUUUCACCCAUUUUGCUUUUGAAGUCUAUGUUGUAGAGAUGAGAGAGGCUCAAUGGGCUCGUUUAGCCCUACUUGAGCUUGAGCUUGAGCUUGAGCUUUCCAUCAUAAACUACAGAAAUUGUAGACUUCAAGUUAUUUCUCUUUUGCAUUUUCCUUAGUUUUCUCAGCAACCAAAGGGGUUUUACUCAAACUAUGUCCAAACAAAUGGGAAGUGUUAUAAGUCACAGGAAACGUUAUACCACAUUUUUUUUCUUCACGAAAAUUGUUUGAUCACUUUGGAUUUGGAAGGCGAAAAAUCUACAUCUGCUUAAUUAAUUCCUCCCUUUCCCUCAUGCCUAUAUGCUGAGUAGCUGAAUUGUCUUCGCUAUUGCUAGUUGAAUGAAGCACUGUAUGAUAUGAAUCUGAACCUGAAGCUAACCCUGCUUCUAUUUACUCCCUGCCCCCAUUAUAGCUAAGUUAAUACCUACACCUGGGUUCUGAUAAUUUCUUUCCCCACUGACAUAUCCAUCAAUUACAGCAUCUUGUCCUCGUACCCCAUUCCCCAUACCAAAAACUGUUUCAAAAUUAUCUUCUUUCAGACGCCGAGUGAAAACUUAAUUCACUUACUAUGCUAAUAUAUAAAAUUACAGGAAAAGAAAAAAAAGUGGAAGGUGGAUAGUUGACUCUCUAUAGAGGGAUUGGCCCUAAAUGCGCCAUUUGUUUUGAGCUCUGAAAAUUGUCCUCCACUCUUUGGAUUGAUGAGGGAACAGAUCAUAAUCAAAUUAAAUCCAAAUUCAACUGGAUAAAAUCAGACUUCAUAACAAUUUCAGAUAAAAAUAUUAGACACAGGUCUGAAUGAUUAUUGAACUGUUUUGGAAGAAAAAUUCACACAGAUCACGUGUCCAUUUCAAUACAUGAGCUAUGAAUUCGCAAAAACAACGUAAGACAAUAUGCUGAAAUUUAAGCAUAUUAUUUUUUAAGUUCUGAACCAUUAUCGUGCUUGCAUAAUUGAAAGUGUCACACCAUUUAAGGAACAAAUUUCAGGCCUGUUUUGGGAUAUAUGUGGUUCCACCCCACUUCUCAGAUUUGAAAAUGCCGGUUGUUUUGGAGAAGGUAAAUGUACACUUUCAUUGCCAAGCAUUGAGACAACAUCAGACAUGGUAGGCCUGUCAUUUGCACUUUCUUGAACACAAAGAAGGCCUAUAUUGAUGUACUUCAACAGAAUGUGUCUUGGCAAUGUCUCUUCCAACACUGGAUCCAUCAAUUCCUGUCCCCUGCUGUCUUUCCACAGAUCCCAUGCCUUUUUUUAUUGAAUACACAACAGCUAGAAGUUCAGAUAUGUAGAAGUUACAAACCAAAUAGGAAGAAAUCCAAGCUUUUGUUGGGCAUAUACUCAUAAAUCAAUAUCUUCUCAUCUUGCUCAAUGCAGCAGCCGAAUAGCUUCACAAGAUUCUUAUGUUGCAGCUUGGCUAUGAGCAUGGCCUCAUUUUUUAACUCCUCCCAUCCCUGUCCAGAUCUUUUUGAAAGCCUCUUCACAGCUACCUAGCUCAUACCCUUUUUGUGACUUUCCCUGUAAUGGGAAUUUCGGCUGAGUACAAUUACAUCAAGUAAAAGAAAAUUUGUAUUUACCUAGUGGGCCUUUACAGUUAAGGACAGAUUGUAGAACAGUCAGAAGAAUUUUCACAUUUCUUUUCUGAAAGGCAUUGCUGUUAAUGAUACGAAUCUCACCUUGUAAACAGGACCAAAACCACCCUCUCCUAGUUUAUUUUCAAUAGAGAAGUUAUUGGUAGCAGCAGAUACACUCACAAAACUGAACAUUGGCAAAUCAACUUCCUUCUUCUCACCUCUCCAAAGUUUAUUUGCCUCACUAAGUUCAUAGUUGGUAUCUACUGAGCUGUUACUUAAAUCAAAUAGUAACAAAUUUUCCCCUGCUUGAUAAAGAACAAACAGAUGUUAAGUAUCUUAAGAAUGUAGGAAUUCUGGAAUGGGAAUAAAUUGUUUCAUUAUUGAUUUUUAUCACACUGUAGUGCCUGGUACACACUCACAUGUAAUCAGGAGAUCGAAAUCCUAAUAAGGCCUUAAUUAUUCUACAACAAUGGUAAUGAACUCAUUGCAGAAAAGAAAUGGUUUUGUAUGUGUAGAUGGAAUCUAAAUGCCCUUGAAUUGCUUGGCCAUCUUCUAUCCAUGAAAAAUACUGACCUUUUCUUCGUAGCCUUCUCCGUAUCCCCCAAAUGACAAAGGCCGAAGUUACGGAAAUGGCCAGUGUAACAAUUAGCCAUACCUUCCACUUGCUGCUUGAAACUGCAAAAAGAAAUAAAUGUAACUAAUCUUUGAUGAACUUCAUCUUAUAUUUAAGAAAAAGAAAAUCAUAUGCUCUGUCCUACAAAAAAAGUUUGACCAUUCCCUACUUUUAUUACCUUUCCCACUUAGCUCAGAGGCCGCAAGUUUGAGAUAGAAAUCUUGACCAUUACUGUUGUCAUCUGAUAGCUGUUGCAAGUUUAGAAGAUCUCCACCCCAUACUGUACACUUCUCCAUGUAGUAAGAAUAAGCAGAGCAAGAGCAGUUAUUUAGGCAAUCUGACUCGCACUGCAUGACACCACUCGUUGGGAGUGUUAGUGGAUAAUCUGGCAGCCUCACAUUAGACACCCGAUGAAACUGGUCUCUCUCCCCAUUAGGAUGAGUACUAUUGCCACACUGCAAAUCUGCUUUCCUCACACACCCUCCAGAUGUGUCGUUCAAGUUCCAGUUAUUAGGGAAGCCAGGUUCAAAACCUGGCAAACAUUCACAGAAUCUAUCGACUGCAUGGUCAUGACAGAUUCCAAAAGGCCCACAGUAAGCAUAAACCUCACAUUGCGUUUUUGGUUGAAACCAAAACAUAUGCCAUUGAUGAGAGGCUUCAAGCCAUGACAUUUGUUUAAUCUGCCCUGACACAUCCAGCACGAAUCUGCUUAUUAUUGAAGAAUUAUAAAUAGAGUAAUUGAUAUAGCUCUCCUCCUUACUAAACGAAUAACUGAAAUUAAACACAUCGUUUGAGCGCAUCUCACGAAUCAAGCUGAAAGCCUGCCCAUCCCUGUCCCAGGUGCCACUAGCCCAGUACAUUGUGGACCCUUGCAAGAUAAAAAUCUGGCCGCUUCCCUUAGGGUCGUACUUCAUGGAGAAAACUCCUGGACUGGGAUCUUCUGUGCUCUUCCAUGACACUAAUGACCAUGUUUUUCCAGCCCUUCUGUCGUAUCCAAGUUUCAUCCCCGGCAAGAAAGUGUCCGAUGGAUGGUCAAAGCUUUGCCAUAUACUCGAGUUGUCAUUUCUCAAAACAAGAUUUCCAGAAUCCAAUAGGGUGGCACUAGUUUUUCUGUUUGAUGAUAUGUUUGUCACCCUGUAUGAAAUUUUCCCCUCCCAAACCUCGAGGUUACCAUCUGUCCUGACAGUAAGAACCACAGACGGAUUUGUGAAUGGAUAAUCUCGGUUAGCUACCCACACAAUGGUUGGCUCUGAUAUUUUCUUGUACCAUAUCCCCACAUAAUAUUUUGUGGAGUUUCCAGGAGAAAAGAAUCCUAAUUCAAAUUCACCACCCGCAGAUAUGAUGGUCUGAGAGGUUGUGAUUGAUUGACC